rnacentral:rRNA from 1 species
GACGAACGCUGGCGGCGUGCUUAACACAUGCAAGUCGAACGGUGAAGCCCUUCGGGGUGGAUCAGUGGCGAACGGGUGAGUAACACGUGAGCAACCUGCCCCUGGCUCUGGGACAACCACUGGAAACGGUGGCUAAUACCGGAUACGACCCGCCUCGGCAUCGAGUGUGGGUGGAAAGUUUUUCGGCUGGGGAUGGGCUCGCGGCCUAUCAGCUUGUUGGUGAGGUGAAGGCUCACCAAGGCGACGACGGGUAGCCGGCCUGAGAGGGCGACCGGCCACACUGGGACUGACACACGGCCCAGACUCCUACGGGAGGCAGCAGUGGGGAAUAUUGCACAAUGGGCGAAAGCCUGAUGCAGCGACGCCGCGUGAGGGAUGACGGCCUUCGGGUUGUAAACCUCUUUCAGCUCCGAAGAAGCGAAAGUGACGGUAGGAGCAGAAGAAGCACCGGCUAACUACGUG